CACACAGCAGACAAAUUACUUUACAACAUUGAGGUAAAGAGCUGCCUCAUCCUCCUCUCUGCUCUACUUGUCAGGGAUUAUGAUCCUGAAUACAGCGGAUAAGAACUUUAGAUGAAUCUCUGGGAAAUUUAGUUCUUGAAGUGACAUG